UUGAGUUUCUAAGCAAAUAUAGGUAUAUACAUCCAAUGAAGGCAAAGGCCACUAAAAUCUCCAUUCUACUUCGACUAUCUAAGAGAGAAGAUUUUAGAGGUUAGUGUUUUCCAACCUACAACAUGUCACAUGGUUCAGGUUCUGCAUUAAAAUAAAAUAAAAAGAUGUAAAACUCUCGAGAGAGGACUUAUUUCAGUCCGAUGCAAAAAAAGAAAACACCUUUUUCGUUGUUUUUGUACCAGUUUUGUAAAUAUACACUACAUGUUUUUUGUAAGACAACUUAUACAAGUUUUUAUAACAUUGACCAGCUUUCAUUACGGCGCUAAUCUCAAAUUCUUAUCCCUGAUGAUGUCGAUGACUAUCGACGAAAUAUUGGAUCAAUAAAGGAAUAAAGAGUA